rnacentral:ncRNA from 1 species
ACCUUGUCAAAACUAGUACAGACAAGGGGAAUUUGACUAUCUAAUUAAAACAAAGCAUUGUGAUGGUCCUAUGGAUCCUAACACAAUGUGAUUUAUUCCCAGUGCUUUGCAUGUCAAAGUGAAUAAAUUCAACCAAGCACGGGUAAAUAGUGGGAGUAACUAUGACUCUCUUAAGGUAUAUAGAUGUCAUGUCAUCUAAUUAGUGACGUGCAUGAAUGGAUUAACGAGAUUCCCAUUGUCCCUAGCUACUAUAUAGAGAAACCAAACCAAGGAAAUGGGCUUGGAAGAAUUAGUAGGGAAAAAAGACCAUGUUGAGCUUGACUCUAGUUCGACUUUGUGAAAUGACUUGAGAGGUGUAGAAUAAGUGGCAGGUUUUUUUUAGCAUAAGUGAAAUACGACCACUACUUUUACCACUAUUUUAAUUAUUUCAUGGGUCAGACAUGGGGCAUUGCACAUAUGUUGAAAUAUAAUGCACAUUUCCUCAAAGUGUUGUCAUUUAUGGCAAUGGUUGAGAGCUCAUUCUUCAUCCACUUUAUGGAAAUGAAUUUAGGAAACCAAAUAGGAUCAUUGUGUUUAAAGACUUACAAAUUUCCU